rnacentral:lncRNA from 1 species
GAAGAAGGGCCUGGCCAACCACUUCUGAAAAAAUUGGCCACUAAAACCCCAUGAAUAGCAGCAAAGCAUUGUCUGAUAUAGCGCCAAAAGAUGAGAAGAUGGUGCAAAAACACACCGGGCAGGGUUUCAUUCUGCUGUGCACAGAUUCACUAGGAGUCAGAAUCCACUCGACGACACCACUACCAACAACAAAAAAAUUUAUAUGAUUUCAAAGAAAUCUACCAAACAAGCACUGAGCACAGGCCCUGACAUAUGGUAGCAAUGCAAUAAAUGUUUGUUACAUGAGUGAAUGGAUGAAAAAGCAAAAGAAUAAAGACUUUGCUCUUCACUUGGGUGACCUGGGACUUCCUCAUGACUCUUUAUCAGAGGAUUUAAGACAAAGGGAAGCCUUUGGAAGCAGGGCCUGUGCACCCCCUUGUGUCACCUGGAUGGAAUGUGCUGCCAGCGUUACUUCUCUGCCAAAGAACAGACCUUCCCAAGGCUGAGGAGGAGGCAGCCCUUGCAUGGGACACUGUGACGGAAAUCAAAGCACAAGACAGUGUCGUUUGUCUUUAUCUGCUUAGGGAUUUUUCCUUACCUGUGAAGUGAUCUGGGCUUUCGAGUACAUUGUUAGAUAUGAUUCUCUUUUUAUAGUAGCCCACCUUUGGUACAAUGCCAUUUUGUGUAAUUAAAAAUACAUUUAACAGUAACAUAGUCAUUGUAGAAAAUACGGAAAGUGUUGAAAAAUCAUUGAAUUACCAUCUCUUGGAGAUAGCGACUCAACAUUUUGAUGUAUUUUAUCCCAAUAUUUUUCUCUCUCUCUCUAUAUAUAAAUUAUAUAAUGGAUAGUAUAAUAAGGGUUUUAUAGCAUAAUAAAGUAUUUAAACUUGAUGUUAAAUUCUUAUAUAGGAAAGUCAGGUUCCAUAUCAAUCUCCUG